rnacentral:rRNA from 1 species
AAAGCGCGCGUAGGUGGUUUGUUAAGUUGGAUGUGAAAUCCCCGGGCUCAACCUGGGAACUGCAUCCAAAACUGGCAAGCUAGAGUAUGGUAGAGGGUGGUGGAAUUUCCUGUGUAGCGGUGAAAUGCGUAGAUAUAGGAAGGAACACCAGUGGCGAAGGCGACCACCUGGACUGAUACUGACACUGAGGUGCGAAAGCGUGGGGAGCAAACAGGAUUAGAUACCCGAGU